rnacentral:ncRNA from 1 species
CAUUGAGAGUGGUUAAGAUAAAGGAACUCACCGAAGUCGUAGCGAAAGCGAGUCUUCAUAGGAUAAUUGUCACUGCUUAUGAAUCCGAACUUGGGUGAUCUAAUCAUGACCAGGAUAAAACUUGGGUGAAACUAAGUGGAGGUCUGAACCGAUUGAUGUUGAAGAAUCAGCGGAUAGAGCUUUACUUAGUUCAACAUGUGCUUUGGCCCUCUAUUUUUAGA